GACGAACGCUGGCGGCGUGCCUAAUACAUGCAAGUAGAACGCUGAAGGAGGAGCUUGCUUCUCCGGAUGAGUUGCGAACGGGUGAGUAACGCGUAGGUAACCUGCCUGGUAGCGGGGGAUAACUAUUGGAAACGAUAGCUAAUACCGCAUAAGAGUAGAUGUCGCAUGACAUUUGCUUAAAAGGUGCAACUGCACCACUACCAGAUGGACCUGCGUUGUAUUAGCUAGUUGGUGAGGUAACGGCUCACAAAGGCAACGAUACAUAGCCGAACGGAGAGGGUGAUCGGCCACACUGGGACUGGGACACGGCCCAGACGCCUACGGGAAGGAGCAGUAGGGAUGCUUCGGAAAGGGACGGAAGUCUGACCGAGAAACGCCGCGUGCGUGAAGAAGGUUUUCGGAUCGUAAAGCGCUGUUGUAAGAGAAGAACGAGUGUGAGAGUGGAAAGGUCACACUGUGACGGUAUCUUACCAGAAAGGGACGGCUAACUACGUG
rnacentral:rRNA from 1 species